rnacentral:rRNA from 1 species
UAGGGAAUCUUCGGCAAUGGACGGAAGUCUGACCGAGCAACGCCGCGUGAGUGAAGAAGGUUUUCGGAUCGUAAAGCUCUGUUGUAAGAGAAGAACGAGUGUGAGAGUGGAAAGUUCACACUGUGACGGUAUCUUACCAGAAAGGGACGGCUAACUACGUGCCAGCAGCCGCGGUAAUACGUAGGUCCCGAGUGUUGUCCGGAUUUAUUGGGCGUAAAGCGAGCGCAGGCGGUUAGAUAAGUCUGAAGUUAAAGGCUGUGGCUUAACCAUAGUAGGCUUUGGAAACUGUUUAACUUGAGUGCAAGAGGGGAGAGUGGAAUUCCAUGUGUAGCGGUGAAAUGCGUAGAUAUAUGGAGGAACACCGGUGGCGAAAGCGGCUCUCUGGCUUGUAACUGACGCUGAGGCUCGAAAGCGUGGGGAGCAAACAGGAUUAGAUACCCUGGUAGUCCACGCUGUAAACGAUGAGUGCUAGGUGUUAGACCCUUUCCGGGGUUUAGUGCCGUAGCUAACGCAUUAAGCACUCCGCCUGGGGAGUACGGCCGCAAGGUUA